CUGAGGAACACAUGCUGCCCUGCCUGCUCCAGCCACGGUUCUGCUUGUGACCAUUGCCUUCCCCUCUGCUUUGUGCACUGACUGGGUGACAGAUCGUUCUGAGUUCAUAAAAGUUCAAUUCCAUCUGCUGAUGAACUAAGAGGACCUAAAAAUCAAAGGAGUACAUCGUUGUUGCUAGAUGCUCUCUCAAAAGAUGGCUUCAGCUGCCCUGGCCCAGGCUCGAUUUUGGCAACUGACCAAACAAAGUUCUUCUGUGUUGCUUGGUGUUUGCAGUUCAAGGAAGGAUAAACCAGCUGCUUCCCAAAAUGAACAGAAGGGUGUGGAAGGUGCCUGAUGAAAACUCUAGGUCACAGCAUAUGUUGCUCAGGAAUGGGUGGAAUUGAUUCUCCUCAUUUGAGAGCCAGCAAAACCAGGAGGCCGGACCAGCUUGCAGUUCUCAGAGAUGUCAACCCACAUGGUGUGCAAAGUCCUGGAGCUGCUUGAACUUCAACGUUUCUGGAUGCUUUGACUUUGUUGCACAUGUUUAUGCAUAGUUUACGCUCUCACCUAUAUGUGACUUGAUAUCUUAUUGUGUUUUCAGUAUGCUCGUUGACCUAUUCCAGCUAUCCAAAGAUGAUGGUGCAUUUCCUUCCAGUAUUUUAAAUUUUAAAUUCAGAGGAAAAAUUAAAGGAGAAUUUCAAAUUCCAGAAAUGCUCUCUGAUCCAUGCCCCUUCAGCAUCCUGGUCCUGCUGUGGCUUGUUGAUGUAUUGGCUACACAAGGAGAGGACAGCAGCUGGUGAUGGGCAAAUUAGAAGUCAGAUGGGGCCUGAUACUGUGACAAUGAUAUAUUUAAAACAGCAACAAACUGCCCUUUUUUAUCAGUAUAUUUCUGUAAAAGGUGGGAGAGGGACUGCAGGUCUGGAA